rnacentral:lncRNA from 10 species
AAAAUGCACUAUAGGUAGCUAAACUCUAUCUUUGUCUUUUUGUCACUUGAAGAAAACAGCAGGGGAGCCCCUUUCUAGUCCUGAAAUUCCGGAUCUAUGAGUCAGAGGGAAAAACAAACUGUCCCAGUUGAUAAGGAGGAAAGAAAAAAGUGAAAUAGGCUGCCUCUUUUAUGAGCUCUCCCUGCCAGGACGGUGAAUGGGCUACCUGGGGUGGUGGCCCAGAAACAUUCCUGCAAGCAAACAAAAGCCUCCCCCCAGGAAAGGUUUCUGAUCACUGCUGGUCCAAGGCUCAGCCGCAACAGAGGGCUCUGACCCCCACAGGACUUGGCCAGACACUUCAAGAUCCCAUCUGGCAAUCAAGCAUGAGAAUUCAGGUACUUGUAAUAAGAAGGGGCAAAGAGAAAAGUACCAAAUAGGUCCCAGAAAAAAGCAUGCCAAUCACUUACCUCUGAUGGAAAUUCAUUCUCCAAGACACACAGUUUUCCUAAGAACCUACUGCUUAGCUGGACAAAAUAGUAGGAAAAUGCUCCAAGUGGAAAUUACCAGCCUCUUGAGGGAGGAGCUUGAAAAUCUUAAGUGAUCACAGAAAAGUCACAGUCAUCUGGGUUUUGGAGACCAGAGAAGAAAUGAAGAAGGGCAAAAAAAAAAAAAAAAAGAAAAAAAGAAAAAGAUGGGGUGUGGGGAGGAAGAUGGGGAAACAUGGAGCUACAAAUUGGGAGAAAAUUAAGGCAGCCAGUAGGCAUAUGUCAGGGAGCUAUGGCGUGAUAUGCCUAAGAACUAUGUGACUGAAUAGCCUCCACUUAUCAAUAUUUGUUGGACAGCAAAAGGAUUUCAGAAUAUGAUGGAUCCAACAAGCAUGAAAUAAUCUUUAGGGGAAAAAAUUACAAUUCCCCACAUGGCAGCUUCCUUCAGAUCUUUUCUGACAAUCCUGUUUGUCAGAUUUCUAAAUCGCAUGCAACUGCUAUAUUUUAGGCAGAGCUGGUAUCUUCCUGGAAAAAGACCGUCCCAAAUAUUCAGUGCCCCUCCCUGCAGGAGAAAUAGACACCUCCUUUCUGAUAUAUGCAGCUCUGGCCAAAUGACUUGCUUUGGCCCAUGAAAUGUGAGCAGAAGUCACAUGUGUCACUUUGGAGUAUAAGUUUUAAGAGCUAGCACGUGGUUCUCUGGCUUUUCUCUUGCUGUCACAAUGACCAGAACAUGUUCCAGAUAGUGCCUUAUCCAACAGGCUUGGUCCCCAAGAGAAGAAAGCAUGGAACAGAGCUGUGGCUGGAUUGCAGUGGACACGUAGCCCAGAUGAAAAAUAAGUUCUGUUGUGGAGUUACCUGCAAUUGCAGCAAAACCUAGCCUAUGUGACUAAUAUACAUGGCCCACGGGACUAAAAGGUGGCCAGAGUUGCCCCUCGCCCUCAUUCACAUUUUCUCACUAGCUGGCCACAGUCUCACCUUGAGAGGAAAGUCAUUAUGCUCCAGGUGGCUUUCUUAGAAUUCAGAUAUGUUGCCUGACUGACCCAGGAAAUCAGGGCUGGCAGCCCUGCUGCUGAGCGUGGUUCAGUACCCAAGAAACAGGCAAAGAUGGCGCACGGAGCUGAGAGGAGACAGAACCAUGAACUUCGAGUUGGAAAUGCCAGGUUGGAGCUGGCUCACCAGUUCUAAUUUAACCCAAAAAGAACAAACAAAAAACAAAACAAGCAAACAGA